GUGAUCAAUAAGGUCAUUAAAGAAAACACCAGACUAAUACCUAUCAGGAUUAUUUGUGAGGAUAACAUCGAGGAGAGUAGCCUUUUCUGGGUGUUUGGAGUCAUACUUUGUGGGAUUGGUAAUAUACAACUCUCAGUCCAAGAACUACGAUUUAUUGUCCACCAGGAAUGUUUGUGUUUCAUGGAUAGACCUUGACAACUAAAUGUUAUUGGAUAUGUUACAUGAUAGUGUUCAAGUGGUCCUAAUUGAGUCUUCCAGUACAGUUAUUGCUCUUUUCCUAUAGAAUUAGCAUAUUCAGUCUAUUGUCAUAGGUCUAUGGAAAUCAUUUAUAACCAAAUAGGCUAAACUUGUCCUGAAUGACGCAAAUAAAUAUAUUGUACUGGAUUGGAAAGAUACGGUUCGACGACGCAGUUCUUGGAACGUCAGCGGUAAAUUUGGGGGUGAAAUUAAGUUUCCAACUCUUCAAGUCCGCGUGUCGCUCCAGGGUCGCGAGCUAUGGGAACAGUUUGGAGAUAUCGGAACAGAGAUGCUUUUCACCAAAACAGGAAGGUAGAAUGUGUGGAUGGAUGAUAAAUAAUUACCGGUAGCCAUUUAUAAUAAUCCCUUGUCCUCGCUGUGUCGUUUUUUUUUGGAGAAGAAAGGCUUUGAAAGAGUUAUGCUGUGUUGGAAAUGUAUUAGAGAAAUUAUAUGUUUCUUUCAUAAUGACAAUUUACCAUUAUAAUUUAAAGGAAAAGUUGUAUUGUCUAUCCUGCCGCUCUAUGUGAUUAAAUAAGCGAUUGAGGCGACCUGUUAGUUCAAAAGUGUUCCAAUUUACCGCCUGAUGUUAUAGGCGCAUGUUUCCAAACUGCGUAGUCACUGUGACGGGGUUAAAUCCUCGGGCAAAGUACAUGCUGAUGAUGGAGAUGGUCUAGUCUGAUGAUAACAAAUACAAGUGGAGCAGGGAUCACUGGGUAGUGAGUGGUAUGACUGAACCCCACCUUUCCAACCACUUCUUCAUCCAACCAAACUCACCUGCCCUGGGAGAGAGGUGAAUGCAGUGCCCAGCCCCACCUUUCCAACCGCUUCUUCAUCCAACCAAACUCACCCGCCCUGGGAGAGAGGUGGAUGCAGUGCCCAGUCUCUUUCCACAAGCAAACUCACCCGCCCUGGGAGAGAGGUGGAUGCAGUGCCCAGUCUCUUUCCACAAGCAAACUCAACCGCCCUGGGAGAGAGGUGGAUGCAGUGCCCAGUCUCUUUCCACAAGCAAACUCACCCGCCCUGGGAGAGAGGUGGAUGCAGUGCCCAGUCUCUUUCCACAAGCAAACUCACCUUCCCUGGGAGAGAGGUGGAUGCAGUGCCCAGUCUCUUUCCACAAGCAAACUCACCUUCCCUGGGAGAGAGGUGGAUGCAGUGCCCAGUCUCUUUCCACAAGCAAACUCACCCGCCCUGGGAGAGAGGUGGAUGCAGUGCCCAGUCUCUUUCCACAAGCAAACUCACCUGCCCUGGGAUAGAGGUGGAUGCAGUGCCCAGUCUCUUUCCACAAGCAAACUGUCCCGCCCUGGGAGAGAGGUGGAUGCAGUGCCCAGUCUCUUUCCACAAGCAAACUCACCUGCCCUGGGAGAGAGGUGGAUGCAGUGCCAAGUCUCUUUCCACAAGCAAACUCACCAACACCCUCAACUCCAAUAGCCUGGUGGUUCUCCACUCCAUGCAUAAGUACCAGCCCUGCCUGCACAUUGUCCUGUCUCCAGACCCCCACAGCCCUCUGUCAGGGGACUACCUGCACUUCACCUUCCCUGAGGCAGCCUUCAUCGCUGUCACUGCCUACCAGAACUCAGAGGUUCAGAGAAAAGGAAGGACAGAACUCUGACAAACUAAAUGUAAGAACGCCUGCGGAAUCAAAAACCUUCAAAUGGUAGUCAAAGGACCCACAACAACCACAAACACAACACACUUCGUACCUGGGCCUAUGACCGCCCUGGGCAGCAUAAGGAGGCCAGGAUACUGGUUUACCAAAUGUUGCCUCUCCUCUCUUCCUCACACACCACACCCUCCACUGGGCCAGACUCAGUUGGCUUCAGGAGGCCCCUGGCACAGAGCAGCAGACCAGUGGGGCCUCACCCACCUCACCACAGAAGACCUGGUGCCACACCCACACAGCAGACCACUACCAGGUGCACCAGAAAACAGCCCCAGCAGGCUGAGUACUCCCCCCCCCCCACGGGCCAGAGUACAUGUCUCUCCAUAGCAUGAUGCUCUACCACCAAAACAGCUUGAUGGGCUCUGUGGGGCAACUAAGAGAUAGCCAUGUGGACAUUCAAGUCCCCUCCUCCUCUCUAGAAUAUCCCUAUAAGGCACCUAUGCGUGACUUGGAUUUUGAUGAACAGUGAGAAAUAAAGAGAUCUCUUGCUCAGUAAA